GGGCGGGAUCUCGCGGCGCGGCCGUGGGCACCCGGACCUCCCGUCCUCCAGAGGGCGCUGCCCUGCCGCGGCCCGCAGACUGGCCUUCGGAGCGGACAGGCCGUGGCGGAGUCGUGGGGACCCCGGGAGCUGUGGGGACCCCGGGAGCCGCGAUCCGGAGCGCGCGGCCCGCCCCCGCGCCGCCAUGUUCAACCAGCAGCAGCAGCAGCAGCUCCAGCAGCUCCAGCAGCAGCAGUUGCUGCAGCUCCAGCAGCUGCUCCAGCAGUCCCCACCGCAGGCCCCACUGCCCAUGGCCGUCAGCAGGGGGCUCCCCCAGCAGCAGCCACAGCAGCAGCUCCUGAAUCUCCAGGGCACCAACUCAGCCUCCCUCCUCAACGGCUCUGUGCUGCAGAGAGCUUUGCUUCUGCAGCAGUUGCAAGGUAUGACUGCGGGCCCUGUCUCGCUCCAUCUUAGCGGGAGCUCCCCAGCAGCCCCACGGCACUGAAUCUCAUCAAAUCCACACAGUAACCCUGAGAGGGAG
rnacentral:lncRNA from 1 species